UCUGAAUCUGCGUACGGCUCCGCAAACCAGUUGUAAACUAUAGCAAGCAUGCUCGGGAUUUGGCCCUCACGGGUUGGGUUUCGGGUGAUAAGGAUAACCCUGGUAAUUCUGAGGCUAAUACUAGAACGCAAAAACUUGACUGACCGGUUUUACUGGGAGGUUGGGGGGCGUGCAAGUGGGUUUCGCAUAGGAUAACCGGGAAGGGGUGCACGUUUGGACCGCGAUAAAGACAGACUGGUUUCGGCCGGCCUGAGCGGCACUUGCGUUGUGCUUCUGACCUAUCAACUAGAUGGCAGCGUAACGGACAUG
rnacentral:rRNA from 1 species